rnacentral:rRNA from 1 species
UGAGGAAUAUUGCGCAAUGGGGGAAACCCUGACGCAGCAACGCCGCGUGGGUGAAGAAGGCCUUCGGGUCGUAAAGCCCUUUCGGACGGGACGAACGCUCCGCGGUGACAACCCGCGGAGUCUGACGGUACCGUAAGAAGAAGCACCGGCUAACUCCGUGCCAGCAGCCGCGGUAAUACGGAGGGUGCAAGCGUUGUUCGGAAUUACUGGGUUUAAAGGGUGCGUAGGCGGCUUUGUAAGUCAGGAGUGAAAGUUUGCAGCUCAACUGUAAAAUUGCUUUUGAUACUGCGAGGCUAGAAUUAGGAUGAGGUCAGCGGAAUGUGGCAUGUAGCGGUGAAAUGCAUAGAUAUGCCAUAGAACACCAAUUGCGAAGGCAGCUGGCUAGACCUGGAUUGACGCUGAGGCACGAAAGCGUGGGGAGCGAACAGGAUUAGAUACCCUGGUAGUCCACGCCCUAAACGAUGCUUACUCGACGUAUGGCACUAGUUGUUGUGCGUCCAAGGGAAACCGUUAAGUAAGCCACCUGGGGAGUACGACCGCAAGGUUG